ACACGGGCGUGUGUGACACACGGUCAUGCUACACAGCCGUGUGUCCCCUGGGGUAUCCUUUUGAAUUAAGUCAGUAUACCCUACACUUUUGGCACAACCUGAUAUACGGGCGUGUGUGGCCAUUUCGAAGGGCACACGGGCUAGACACACGGGUAUGUGGUUGGCCGUGUGACCCAAGUCGGUAACCUCUCUAGUUUUCACACAGUCUGGCACACGGGCAUGUCAUCGGCCGUGUGACACUAUUCAG
rnacentral:lncRNA from 1 species